AAUAAGUGCAGUCGUGGAUAUCCGUGCCCAACGUUUGACCGUUCAUCUUAUUUGAAAAAUUUAAAAAUAUUUAGUCACACAUAAAGUACUAUUCAUGUUUUAUCAUCUAAUAGCAAUAAAAAUACUAAUCAUAAAAUAAUUUCAAAUAAGACGAACGGUCAAACGUUGAACGUGAAUAGUGCAAAACUGCACUUAUU
rfam:Oryza glaberrima chromosome 3 Oglab03_0146_33, whole genome shotgun sequence.